rnacentral:rRNA from 1 species
GAUGAACGCUGGCGGCGUGCCUAAUACAUGCAAGUCGAGCGAACAGACGAGGAGCUUGCUCCUCUGACGUUAGCGGCUGACGGGUGAGUAACACGUGGAUAACCUACCUAUCAGACUGGGAUAACUUCGUGAAACCUGAGCUAAUACCGGAUAAUAUAUUGAACCGCAUGGUUUAAUAGUGUAAGACGUUUUUUCUGUCACUUAUAGAUUGAUCCGCGCCGCAUUAGCUAGUUGGUAAGGUAACGGCUUACCAAGGCGACGAUGCGUAGCCGACCUGAGAGGGUGAUCGGCCACACUGGAACUGAGACACGGUACAGACUCCUACGGGAGGCAGCAGUAGGGAAUCGUCCGCAAUGGGCGAAAGCAUGACGGAGCAACGCCGCGUGAGUGAUGAAGGUCUUCGGAUCGUAAAACUCUGUUAGUAGGGAAGAACAAAUGUGUAAGUAACUAUGCACGUAUUGACGGUACCUAAUCAGAAAGCCACGGCUAACUACGUG